GUGUGUGUGUGUGUGUGUGUGUGUGCGUGUGUGUGUGUGUGUCUAGUUGCUGAUGGCCUGGCCCUGAGAGGGAGGUACCGACUGGAUCUGGAUUCUGAAGUGAACGUGCAGGUUGGACCCGUUUACAGUUACCAGCUGCUCAGGUUCCAGACCUUCUGUGGCUCUCCCAAGCGAACUGUCCUACUGGAGGACAUUGAGGACAAGGAGGAGGAGGAGGACCUGCAGGACCACCUGGAGAUCCACUUCCAGAAGCCCAGUAACUACGGCGGGGAGAUAGAGAGCAUUAGAUACCUCUCGGGGGGGAAGGCUCUGCAGGCCUUCUUCUGUGAGGACCCACUGUAACUCCUACAUCUGCAACAUUUGCGCACAUAUCUGUCUUUAUGAUUGUUUGAUAUACAAAAUCAUAUUUGCAAUAUGAUUGAAUAUGAAUAUAUUAUGGAAAUGUCACUCUUUUGUUUUCCUGCAGAGAAUAAAAUGAAAAGAUGUUGUGAUUUAAUCUCUGUGCAUUCAAUAGAGAGGGUGUACACUUAAAUAAAUCAUAUAAUAUAUAUUAUCAUACAUGAAUAACCCAUGGUGAAGGGUGUUAAGAUUGUGUUACAGUAAGGCCUAGUCUGCAUGUUGACUGUAUUUGUGUAAAAAGGGUUUUCCCUACUUUCGCAAAUAAAAGUGUAAGAGUC